GGAUGGGUGGCCGAGCGGUCGAAGGCGCGCGCCUGGAAAGUGCGUAUAGGUCAAAAGCCUAUCGUGGGUUCGAAUCCCACCUCAUCCGCCA
rnacentral:tRNA from 1 species